ACGUAUUCAUAUUAAAAGUUCGAUAGUUUUCGGCAAUUUUCGUUAAUCGUCGUCAAUCUUCGUCGAUUCUGACCAGUUUGUCUGCCAUUAUUAAACUCGUCGUUCAAGUAAAAUGUGAUCGUUGUAUAAUAUAUUUUUCAUUUUAUUUAGUCAUCAGCUUCUAUUUUAAUAUGUGGCACAGUUUGUCCAGAUGAUAUUUGUACUUUUGGUUUUGGUAUUUGAGCUUUAACCGUGGUUGUACCUGUUGGUGCUAUAAAAGAUAUAAAACAUAAGAAGUUAAAGAAACAAAUAGUACUGAUAUUAUUAUAAAAUCAUUUUGAUAUAUAAAUAAUACGUUUUAUCUUACAUAUUCGUGCUCUCAAUGAAAUGUGGUAAGACGGGAUAGUUGAAUGGGAUUGAAGGACAUGAAAGUGAUCUAGGGAAUACAUAUACAUAUACAUAUAUAUAUAUAUAUAUAUAUAUAUAUAUAUAUAUAUAUAUAUAUAUAUGUCAUAUUAAAUUUAAAAUAUAUAGUUUAUAUCGCUAAACAUGCUGUGAGUAAUAUAAAGUUAUAUAAUUAAA